AUUCGCUGUAGGAACUCAUCUACGUGGGGCCGCUUCAGCACAUAGACCUGGUGGACCACUCCAUCUAUCUCCACCGGGAUGAUGAAGUCCGCAUUGUUCACUGGCUUGAAGGAGCUGUCCAGGUCGAUGACUACGCAGAUCUUGUCUGAGUCCUGGGCCUUGGCCUCGGGAAGCAGUUUCAGUGUAUCUGGUUUCAUGUGGAGUUCCUUGAUCCACUUGGACUUGAGCUUUGUACAAGGAGAUAAGAAUGGAUCAAUUUGCCUUCUUCUACAUGAUAACCGACAGUUGAAACAUCACCAUUUGUUGAGAAUGCUGUCUUUUUUCUACUGGAUGGUUUUAGCUUUAUUGUCAAAGAUCGAGUGACCAUAGAUCAGUGUAAUGUCCCAAGAGACACCAUCAACAGUUGAAAACAAAUGUUUUGAGGCAAGAUACUGCAUCCUGGAGCAGUGACAAGCAUCUCUUGAGAAUGGAAUUUUGCACCUGAACUAUGAAAGCUUCUUGGGGCCAUUCUUGUAGAUGCCAAACUAGACUGGAGAAGAUCAUGGAGCCUGCAGAGCACUAGAGCCUGUAAAGACUUCUCUGGAUAUCAUAGCCUAUCUUCUUCUCUGAUGUGAUCUUUGUACCCUACCCAUAGCCUACUUUCCAGUCCUAAGUUCUGUCUACAUUUUGAGCAUAGUAAAAAGCUCUGUGCUAUCCUUU
rnacentral:lncRNA from 1 species